rnacentral:rRNA from 2 species
ACGAACGAGGUUGGUGCAGUGAUCACGCAGGUUCAAGCCCUGCCAAAGGUGCCGACGCGGCGACGGAGAUCGUCCCGUGUCGUCAGCCCCAGGCAGUGCCGUACUCCUCGUGAACACGGACCAGCGGCGGUUGGACUGGAGCCAAAAGGCGGCGGGGAAGGUGAGUUGAUGCGGGCCUGUCCUGCAUCGACAGCUUAUAGCCCCACCGCAUGGCGCUCCGGUCCGACCGAGGAAGCCGGGCAGCCCUUGCCCAUCGUGGUACACGCCGAAUGGCGGGGCCUCCCAACACGAGCUAACCGUGCGGUGUGGACUGCAUGCAGUGCUCACCGUGGCGGCGAUCUCGUGGUGGAGAGUGUCACUUGUGUGCCAGUGCUGCUGGUAUUCAGAUGGCCUCGUCCGA